rnacentral:rRNA from 1 species
UACGAAGGGUGCAAGCGUUACUCGGAAUUACUGGGCGUAAAGCGUGCGUAGGUGGUUCGUUAAGUCCGAUGUGAAAGCCCUGGGCUCAACCUGGGAAUGGCAUGGGAUACUGGCGGGCUAGAGUGCGGUAGAGGGUGGCGGAAUUCCCGGUGUAGCAGUGAAAUGCGUAGAUAUCGGGAGGAACAUCUGUGGCGAAGGCGGCCGCCUGGACCAGCACUGACACUGAGGCACGAAAGCGUGGGGAGCAAACAGG